rnacentral:rRNA from 1 species
AUACGGAGGGUGCAAGCGUUAAGCGGAAUUACUGGGCGUAAAGCGCGCGUAGGCGGAUUGUUAAGUCUCAUGUGAAAGCCCUGGGCUCAACCUGGGAACUGCAUGGGAUACUGGCAAUCUAGAAUACAGUAGAGGGUAGUGGAAUUUCAGGUGUAGCGGUGAAAUGCGUAGAGAUCUGAAGGAACAUCAGUGGCGAAGGCGACUACCUGGACUGAUAUUGACGCUGAGGUGCGAAAGCGUGGGGAGCAAACGGGAUUAGAAACCCUAGUAGUCC